rnacentral:rRNA from 1 species
GGGGAAUAUUGCACAAUGGGGGAAACCCUGAUGCAGCGACGCCGCGUGAAGGACGAAGGUUUUCGGAUCGUAAACUUCUAUCAGCAGGGAUGAAGAAAUGACAGUACCUGAAUAAGCAGCCCCGGCUAACUACGUGCCAGCAGCCGCGGUAAUACGUAGGGGGCAAGCGUUAUCCGGAAUCACUGGGUGUAAAGGGUGCGUAGGCGGUAAUGCAAGUCAGAUGUGAAACCCCUUGGCUCAACCAAGGGCUUGCAUUUGAAACUGUGUUACUAGAGUGCAGGAGAGGAAAGCGGAAUUCCUAGUGUAGCGGUGAAAUGCGUAGAUAUUAGGAAGAACACCAGUGGCGAAGGCGGCUUUCUGGACUGUAACAGACGCUGAGGCACGAAAGCGUGGGUAGCGAAC